AGUGAACGCUGGCGGUAGGCCUAACACAUGCAAGUCGAACGGCAGCACAGUAAGAGCUUGCUCUUACGGGUGGCGAGUGGCGGACGGGUGAGGAAUACAUCGGAGUCUACUUUUUCGUGGGGGAUAACGUAGGGAAACUUACGCUAAUACCGCAUACGACCUACGGGUGAAAGCAGGGGAUCUUCGGACCUUGCGCGAUUGAAUGAGCCGAUGUCGGAUUAGCUAGUUGGCGGGGUAAAGGCCCACCAAGGCGACGAUCCGUAGCUGGUCUGAGAGGAUGAUCAGCCACACUGGAACUGAGACACGGUCCAGACUCCUACGGGAGGCAGCAGUGGGGAAUAUUGGACAAUGGGCACAAGCCUGAUCCAGCCAUACCGCGUGGGUGAAGAAGGCCUUCGGGUUGUAAAGCCCUUUUGUUGGGAAAGAAAAGCAGCAGGUUAAUACCCCGCUGUUCUGACGGUACCCAAAGAAUAAGCACCGGCUAACUUCGUG
rnacentral:rRNA from 1 species